UACGUAGGGGGCAAGCGUUGUCCGGAUUUAUUGGGCGUAAAGCGCACGCAGGCGGUCUCUUAAGUUUCGAGUGACAGGUCAGGGCUUAACCCUGGCAGGCCUUGGAAAACUGGGGGACUUGAGGGCUUCAGAGGGACGCGGAAUUCCAGGUGGAGCGGUGAAAUGCGUAGAGAUCUGGAAGAACACCGAAGGCGAAGGCAGCCCCCUGGGAUAACACUGACGCUCAUGCACGAAAGCGUGGGGAGCAAACAGG
rnacentral:rRNA from 1 species